rnacentral:rRNA from 1 species
CUUGAAAGUAACAGAGAAUUUAAAAUUCUCUUUUAGACUUGAUCUGUUUCAACAAUUACAAGCAUGAUAAUUUAAAGUACUAUGAAAGAAAUAUUAUUAUUUUAACUAUGAAGAGGUAAUUAAUAUAAUAUUAAUUAGUAGCAAAUUUGUGUACCUUGUGUAUGAUGGUUUAACUAAAAAUUGUUUAUAUAAAAUUUCUAGAUUGAUUUAGAGCUAUAUUUGAAUGGUUAAGAACUGAUAUGUAAAUGUAACAUUAUUUUAUAGAAAUUUAUUUAUAGAAAUGAAAUGUUAAUCUUUUAAUUGUAGCUAGUUUUUCUAAAAUGCACCAAUGCAUUUAUUAUAAUAUUAGGGACAAGCUUAAUAUUUUAAAAAUUUAUUUUAAAAAUAUCAUAUUAAGCUUAAAAGUAGCAAUAAUUUAAUAGUUUGUAAUAAAAUUAAUUGAUUAAUAGUAUUAAUUUAAAAAAUAGAAAUAUUAUGAUAAAUUACACUCAUAAUAAAAAAUGUUAAAAUAAGUACUGAAAUUUUAAUUUAGUCAAUUUAUUAAAAAAUUCAUAAAAGGAACUCGGCAAAAGUUUAUUUCGUCUGUUUAUCAAAAACAUAGCAUUAAGAAUUUAUUUUAUGUAAAGUCUGCUCAAUGACACCCUAGUUAAACUGGUGUUAAAUAGCUAUGGAAUAAUCUGUACUAAGGUAGCGCAAUCAAUUGUUUUUUAAUCGAAAACCUGUAUGAAUGACUUAACGAAAAUAAAUCUGUCUUCUUAUGUAAUUUAUGGAAUUUAAUUUUAAAGUGAAGAAGCUUUAAUAAACUAAAAAGACGAAGAGACCCCAUUGAAUUUAAGAAUAAAUAAUAGAUAUUAGUAUUUCUUACGUUGGGGUAACGGAAGAAACUUUUUCUUUUGAUAUGUAAUAAAGAUCCUUUUCUAAAGAUUAUAAGAAAAAUUACCAUGGGGAUAACAGUGUAUUAUUCUUAGGAAGUGCUAAUUGAAGAGAAUAUUCACAACCUCGAUGUUGGA